rnacentral:rRNA from 1 species
AUUGAACGCUGGCGGCAUGCCUUACACAUGCAAGUCGAACGGCAGCACGGAGCUUGCUCUGGUGGCGAGUGGCGAACGGGUGAGUAAUAUAUCGGAACGUACCCUAGAGUGGGGGAUAACGUAGCGAAAGUUACGCUAAUACCGCAUACGAUCUAAGGAUGAAAGUGGGGGAUCGCAAGACCUCAUGCUCGUGAAGCGGCCGAUAUCUGAUUAGCUAGUUGGUAGGGUAAAAGCCUACCAAGGCAUCGAUCAGUAGCUGGUCUGAGAGGACGACCAGCCACACUGGAACUGAGACACGGUCCAGACUCCUACGGGAGGCAGCAGUGGGGAAUUUUGGACAAUGGGCGAAAGCCUGAUCCAGCAAUGCCGCGUGAGUGAAGAAGGCCUUCGGGUUGUAAAGCUCUUUUGUCAGGGAAGAAACGGUGGGAGCUAAUAUCUCUUGCUAAUGACGGUACCUGAAGAAUAAGCACCGGCUAACUACGUGCCAGCAGCCGCGGUAAUACGUAGGGUGCAAGCGUUAAUCGGAAUUACUGGGCGUAAAGCGUGCGCAGGCGGUUUUGUAAGUCUGAUGUGAAAUCCCCGGGCUCAACCUGGGAAUUGCAUUGGAGACUGCAAGGCUAGAAUCUGGCAGAGGGGGGUAGAAUUCCACGUGUAGCAGUGAAAUGCGUAGAUAUGUGGAGGAACACCGAUGGCGAAGGCAGCCCCCUGGGUCAAGAUUGACGCUCAUGCACGAAAGCGUGGGGAGCAAACAGGAUUAGAUACCCUGGUAGUCCACGCCCUAAACGAUGUCUACUAGUUGUCGGGUCUUAAUUGACUUGGUAACGCAGCUAACGCGUGAAGUAGACCGCCUGGGGAGUACGGUCGCAAGAUUAAAACUCAAAGGAAUUGACGGGGACCCGCACAAGCGGUGGAUGAUGUGGAUUAAUUCGAUGCAACGCGAAAAACCUUACCUACCCUUGACAUGGCUGGAAUCCUUGAGAGAUCAGGGAGUGCUCGAAAGAGAACCAGUACACAGGUGCUGCAUGGCUGUCGUCAGCUCGUGUCGUGAGAUGUUGGGUUAAGUCCCGCAACGAGCGCAACCCUUGUCAUUAGUUGCUACGAAAGGGCACUCUAAUGAGACUGCCGGUGACAAACCGGAGGAAGGUGGGGAUGACGUCAAGUCCUCAUGGCCCUUAUGGGUAGGGCUUCACACGUCAUACAAUGGUACAUACAGAGCGCCGCCAACCCGCGAGGGGGAGCUAAUCGCAGAAAGUGUAUCGUAGUCCGGAUUGUAGUCUGCAACUCGACUGCAUGAAGUUGGAAUCGCUAGUAAUCGCGGAUCAGCAUGUCGCGGUGAAUACGUUCCCGGGUCU